rnacentral:rRNA from 1 species
GACGAACGCUGGCGGCGUGCUUAACACAUGCAAGUCGAACGGAAAGGCCCUGCUUUUGUCGGGUGCUCGAGUGGCGAACGGGUGAGUAACACGUGAGUAACCUGCCCUUGACUUUGGGAUAACUUCAGGAAACUGGGGCUAAUACCGGAUAGGAGCUCCUGCUGCAUGGUGGGGGUUGGAAAGUUUCGGCGGUUGGGGAUGGACUCGCGGCUUAUCAGCUUGUUGGUGGGGUAGUGGCUUACCAAGGCUUUGACGGGUAGCCGGCCUGAGAGGGUGACCGGCCACAUGGGGACUGAGAUACGGCCCAGACUCCUACGGGAGGCAGCAGUGGGGAAUAUUGCACAAUGGGCGGAAGCCUGAUGCAGCAACGCCGCGUGCGGGAUGACGGCCUUCGGGUUGUAAACCGCUUUCGCCUGUGACGAAGCGUGAGUGACGGUAAUGGGUAAAGAAGCACCGGCUAACUACGUG